AUUGAACGCUGGCGGCAUGCUUUACACAUGCAAGUCGAACGGCAGCGCGGGCUUCGGCCUGGCGGCGAGUGGCGAACGGGUGAGUAAUACAUCGGAACGUGCCCAGUAGUGGGGGAUAGCUCGGCGAAAGCCGGAUUAAUACCGCAUACGACCUGAGGGUGAAAGAGGGGGAUCUUCGGACCUCGCGCUAUUGGAGCGGCCGAUGGCAGAUUCGCUAGUUGGUGGGGUAAAGGCCUACCAAGGCGACGAUCUGUAGCUGGUCUGAGAGGACGACCAGCCACACUGGGACUGAGACACGGCCCAGACUCCUACGGGAGGCAGCAGUGGGGAAUUUUGGACAAGGGGCGAAAGCCUGAUCCAGCAAUGCGGCGUGUGGGAUGAAGGCCUUCGGGUGGUAAAGCACUUUUGGCGGGAACGAAAAGGACUGUGCCAAUACCACGGUUCGAUGACGGUACCCGCAGAAUAAGCACCGGCUAACUACGUG
rnacentral:rRNA from 1 species